rnacentral:rRNA from 1 species
CGCUAUCACUCCUACGGGGAGGCAGCAGUAGGGAAUCUUCCACAAUGGGCGCAAGCCUGAUGGAGCAACACCGCGUGAGUGAAGAAGGGUUUCGGCUCGUAAAGCUCUGUUGUUUAAAGAAGAACACGUAUGAGAGUAACUGUUCAUACGUUGACGGUAUUUAACCAGAAAGUCACGGCUAACUACGUGCCAGCAGCCGCGGUAAUACGUAGGUGGCAAGCGUUAUCCGGAUUUAUUGGGCGUAAAGAGAGUGCAGGCGGUUUUCUAAGUCUGAUGUGAAAGCCUUCGGCUUAACCGGAGAAGUGCAUCGGAAACUGGAUAACUUGAGUGCAGAAGAGGGUAGUGGAACUCCAUGUGUAGCGGUGGAAUGCGUAGAUGUAUGGAAGAACACCAGUGGCGAAGGCGGCUACCUGGUCUGCAACUGACGCUGAGACUCGAAAGCAUGGGUAGCGAACAGGAUUAGAUACCCUGGUAG